GAUGAACGCUGGCGGCGUGCUUAACACAUGCAAGUCGAACGAUGAAGCCCAGCUUGCUGGGUGGAUUAGUGGCGAACGGGUGAGUAACACGUGAGUAACCUGCCCUUGACUCUGGGAUAAGCCUGGGAAGCUGGGUCUAAUACUGGAUAUGACUUCUCAUCGCAUGGUGGGGGGUGGAAAGAUUUAUUGGUCUUGGAUGGACUCGCGGCCUAUCAGCUUGUUGGUGAGGUAAUGGCUCACCAAGGCGACGACGGGUAGCCGGCCUGAGAGGGUGACCGGCCACACUGGGACUGAGACACGGCCCAGACUCCUACGGGAGGCAGCAGUGGGGAAUAUUGCACAAUGGGCGCAAGCCUGAUGCAGCGACGCCGCGUGAGGGAUGACGGCCUUCGGGUUGUAAACCUCUUUCAGUAGGGAAGAAGCGAGAGUGACGGUACCUGCAGAAGAAGCGCCGGCUAACUACGUG
rnacentral:rRNA from 1 species